UGAGUUUAAUGGGAUUAAGCCGGACUCGUGCCGACUAAAUCCUUCGUUAGCUGGGCUUAGCGAGAGCCCCCGGAAAUGAGGGGAUUGCUAGUCCCGUUUCCCCGCUUCCCCUCGCUUCGCCUCGCCCUAAACAUGAGAACUUGCCCUCCCGCUAUGUCUCUCCCCACCUCCCUCUCGUCUGUCCAAAAGAUCUCCAAGUCUGCAAGAAUUUCCAGGUCUGCAAGAACCCACAAGUCUGCACCUGGGUUUGACAGAAACGAUUCAAACGAAUCUAAAAUGUCCAAGUCUGCAAGACUUGAUUUGCAAGAAAAAUGGCUCUGGGUUGGGCACUCUGCGUUUUGUCUCGAAGGAUUACAACUACGGAGGAUUUCAAAGUAUUUGAUGGAAGGUCGAGAAGGAAUCUGUUGUUGUUAUUGAAGAGCUAUUCGGCUACAAAUCUUCAAAUAACUACUUGAGCAGAAAAUAAACAGAGGACUUAUGAAGGAGAUGAACUCUCAUAUAUCAGGAAAAUGAUUCUGUGAAUUGGGUUGGAUUUGUGAGUUGUCUGUGAAAUACCAAAUUGAAGGAUUUGAUUUUUUUGGGAUAUUAGAGCUUUUGAGCAAUUUGGAGUGGUUGAACAAAUUGAAUGAUUUCAAUAGUUCUGCUUCUUCUGGGAUAGCAAAUUGCAUGAUUUCAUUUAGUUCUGCUUUUUCUGGGAUAGCAAAUUGAAGAAUUUGGUUAAUUCUGCAGAAACUUUCAUGUUGGGGUUCACUUUCAUUGGAUGAUAAUAUUUUGUUACAAA